UACGGAGGGGGCUAGCGUUGUUCGGAAUUACUGGGCGUAAAGGGCGCGUAGGCGGCGAUCCAAGUUAGGCGUGAAAGGCCUGGGCUCAACCCGGGGAACUGCGCUUGAUACUGGAUUGCUUGAGUCCGGGAGAGGAUGGCGGAAUUCCCAGUGUAGAGGCGAAAUUCGUAGAUAUUGGGAAGAACACCGGUGGCGAAGGCGGCCACCUGGACCGGAACUGACGCUGAGGCGGCGAAAGCGUGGGGAGCAAACAGG
rnacentral:rRNA from 1 species